rnacentral:ncRNA from 2 species
AGCUCAUCGAGAGGGGCAGAGGGACACGGCCCGCUGAAGCCCCGGCAACCGCCGCACGAGACCUCCGACGUCAUCGGACCCGCGUGCGGAAGUGGUGCUACAUCCGUCCCGCGCCGAGAGUCGGCCCGGGGAAGAUGAGAA